AAUCAAUGUGAUAUUCGUAUGGUUCAGCAGAUCCGGAAGGCAAGCAGUUUAGAAUAUCUCUUCAACAGCUUUAUGAAUGAACAUCAUUGCAAACUGUGGACCAACAUUUUUUAUAAAACACUGAUGAAUACCCGGCUGGACCUGGUGAAGUAUAGGAGCCCAUUUUUGAUAUUACUACCCGUAUUUCCUCCAUGGUUGGAACCAUAAUUAAAGCCUCAUUAUCCACGUUGAAAACAGAAUCACAUUGAAUCGAGCAUUGAGGAGAAUCAGUUAUCACCGGUUAUUGAAAUAGAGAUUUGAAGUGAUUCACUGGGACACGAGAAAUUUCUCCCUGAUCUGAUAUCCAACCUUGAUUAUCAACCAAAAGAUGGCUGAUUGUAUUUUUCCUUCUUCUUUGUUGAGCAGAAAGGUGAAAGUGUCUUGUAUUCCUAUCCCCAUUUUUUGCCCACUGUUGUUUCAUACGCUGAUCCCAAUAUGUAGCUUCCAUGAUGAGAUAAUCAUUAAGCUCAGCUAUCAAAACCACUGAAAAUUAUAACAGAGAGAACCAUCAGAGAAUAAACAUAACACAUGAACUCAUACCUCUCUAGAAAAGCUCUCAUUUUUGGUAUACCAAUUCCAAAAGGAGAUAAAGCUUUAAGUUUUUCUCUGCUCGCUAACAAGGUUUGACUGAAAGGGGUUCCAUUAGCAAAAGUGAUUGUGGAUGGUGUAAUAUCUUUGAGCACUGAAAGGUUCUGUACUCAUUGCAGGAAUCCCUGAAAGCUUUACUUAUGAGAAGAACUACAAAGAAGAUUUGAUUGUCACCAGAGAAAUUUAGAGUAAAUUGGUUGGUACCUGGAUCAGAAGUUGGAAACAUGGGGAGCGGAGUUACGCGACAUGGCAAACAAUCUAAUCUGGAAAUUUGAUAAAGAAGAUCCGAGAGGCGUACUUCAGGCCGGAAACACCAGCAUCACUGCUUUGGAUGCUUAUCCCAUGUCCAUUAUCCCCUAUAUUCACUGAGUUUGAAGAACUUGAGUCGAAGCUUCAGAAAUAUAUGUUAAGAUGUGGUGGAUUUUUUAAAAAACAUGACCAACAUCCAGCUCCUUCAUAGGCCUUGCGAUCCUUGCCGAAUGCGUGAACUCAAAACUGAUAAUCUCAGGUAUACAUUAUGAGUUUUUCCUCCACUACCAUCUCUUAAUGCACACAGGUAAGGUAACAAGACUCUGAAUAUCUGUGUAAGGGGUCCACAUUGAAGAUUGGCAUUUGGGUGCUAAUCAGGUUGGUAACAACCAAUCGAGGCCGACUCCGACCCAGGCCCGGUACUGAUAGUUAUAUGCUCCACUUUUGUGAACAAACUAUCAGGGUAUCGCAUGUCUAGCGUACUGAGAAUAACGGGUUAUGCCAUUAUUACAUGGAAAUAUAACUCAUCCUACAAAAAUGAUACCAAGUGUACCCCAACAUCGGAAUACCAGCCGUUGUAGAAAUGCGAGAAGGUUAGUAUUCAUAUAUUUGCAUUAUUCCCCAUAUCUGAUUUGGUAUACCAGUGUUUGAGGUUGUGGUUUGUUAACUUUACCGCCAGCUGUGUACGUUUAAAAAUCCUUUUCACAUUGUACUUUACAUAUUUAUCCAAUUAAUGUUGAGAAAUCAGUUGACUACUUAUUAAUAGAAUGUCAUAUUUUUAGAUUGUUUGGGUACACUAUGGUAAAUGUUUAUACUCUGUAUAACCUAACUCUUAAUCAUAGAUGUUUAGAUUGUUUAGAUACACUAUGGUAAAUGUUUAUACUCUGUAAAACCUAACUCUUAAUCAUAGAUGCUUUUGUAAUUUACAUGCUAAUGCUAUAUACCCCAUGUUUGAUGUGCUUACCCUGUCUAGAACGAAAAUUGUCACACUAGGCUAUGGCAUGUAUGUGUUUCUUAUAUAUGUAAAUGGCAACUCCAGCAAAUAGACAUAUGACUCACGAAACUGAACUUAUAUAGACUAUGCAUCCUACCCGGGUUCUUCAGUUCAGGGAUUACUUGCUUAGUAGUAAUUUUGUUAUUUCAAGUGUUGUCCAUCUGGAAUGAUUAUCUGUUUUUUGUUCAAGUGCAUCCCCCCGUGUAAGCUAAAUGAACUUACCCUUGAAUGCGACAACACAUGCAAUUGUCGCCAAAACAGCAGUCUAAAUGUCUUAGAACAAAAAUGCCCUUGCAAUUAUUUUGUAUUCUUGGGAAUGAUAUCUUGCUAACUGAAACGUAUUAAACCAAAACAUCUCAUUCAUUAUAGUAUGAGCUGACCUUGCAAUAGUCGGGCGUUGCACUUGAUUAGUUAGCUUUUUAUUGUAAAAUUAUUACUGCGAGCAAUUAGUAUGCUUCCUUUUAUCUAAAAUCUCUUCCUUUUCAGUUAUUAUUAUUCAUUAAUGGCAAACGGUGGGUAAUCCUGUUAUAACACUAAUUUACCCAAAUUUUUUAGCUUUGGAUGGUAGUGGAGCCUCCAGUAAAAUACUCUGUAGAAGUCCUGCACUAAUUGUACGAGCUCGACCACAAUAAACAAUACAUAUCUAUGAUGUAUCCAAUCGGAAGCUUGAAUUUUCGGAAAGUAUAGCAGAAAUGUGGACUGGAUUUGGUUGGGUUAGGGAGAGGGGGAGCAUUUUUCCUGUUAACCAUCUAUCUAGGGAGUAACCAUGCCACUUGCUUACAAGAGAACAUGAUUUGCGAAAUUGUAUGUAGAUCGGGAAGAAGUAAAUUUCAGGAUCUGGAUAUUGGAUCGAAUUGUUUUUGUCCUCGGCUUUAAAUUCUUUAUUUUGAUAAAAAUCGGCUUUGAGUUCUUUAUUUUUUGUAGAGAUCGAUGGAUGUACCAACCAUUCGAUUGAAUUCAUGCACAAGAUUUUCAUUUUAUGAAAGAUUAAGCAAACACAAGGGAGAUUAAGAAAAUAUAACUAACGUGGGUCUUGUUAUAUUUGUACUAUGGUUCAUCAUAGGAUGAUCGGCUUAAUCGACUGAGUUGGUGUUGUUACUUUCGUUGCUUGGGUCCAUAUUUCGUAUGUAAGGAGCUCAAAAACAAGAGGCAACGUAGGUUGAAACUGGGCAUGGCAUCCUGGCCUUAAUUCAUCGAACUAACUUCAAAUUUUGUUGUAUUGCCUGCAUAUAGCUGGGAAUGUAAAAGCACAUAUAUUUCACGAGUACGUAAAAGCACAUAUAUUUCAUAAGAAUAUUGUAAUAAUUAAACCACUAAUGAUUAAAUAAUGCAAGU